rfam:Caenorhabditis brenneri strain PB2801 C_brenneri-6.0.1_Cont578.1, whole genome shotgun sequence.
GACGGUGUGGCGCAACCGGUAGCGCUCUAGUUUUUGAAAUUUCAUACCCGGGUUCAAUUCCACUCAACGUCA